rnacentral:misc_RNA from 1 species
CCAAACUUGGUCAUUUAGAGGAAGUAAAAGUCGUAACAAGGUUUCCGUAGGUGAACCUGCGGAAGGAUCAUUACCGUGAACACCGCAAGGUGUGCACUGCCCUGUGCUGUGUGUUUGUGUGCGUGGCCCGCCGGGUCACGCGAGCAUUUUAACACCGUUCACUGUUGUUCUGACCAUCUGUGUCCCAGUGGCACACCAAACAUCGAAAACUGCCAGCAAUGGAUCACUCGGUUCUCGCAUCGAUGAAGAACGCAGC